GCAGAACAAAAGGAGUGAGACACGUCCCAUGAAAGGGGACACCGCACUCAGUGCUUCCCAAAGGGAUAACAGGGUGAAGAAAAGCAAGGUAACCUUAUCAUAGAAUCAUCCGAGUUGUAAGGGACCUUUAAAGGCCACCUGGUCCCACUGCCCGCACUGUGGGACACCCACAGCUCCAUCAGUGCUUACAUCCCAUCCCCUGACCGUGGUUGUCUGCAGAGACAGGGCACCUCCACCGCUCUGGGCACCUCACUAAGCUCCUCUGCUCUUCUGUUCCAGGGCACAGCCUCUGUUCUGCAGCGCAGGUCUGAUAACGAGGAGUAUGUCGAGGUUGGAAGGCUGGGCCCAUCCGAUUAUUUUGGUGAGAUAGCACUGCUGCUCAACCGGCCCCGGGCUGCCACAGUGGUGGCACGUGGACCCCUGAAGUGCGUGAAGCUCGACCGGCCCCGCUUCGAACGAGUGCUCGGCCCCUGCUCUGAGAUCCUCAAGAGAAACAUUCAGAGAUACAACAGCUUCAUCUCUCUCACUGUCUAAAUGAUUCCUUUUGGAAAGCUGCCUUUGUGUGACCUCGUGCACUUACAUUAGCUGUGUGCAGCUCCAUGGCUUUAUCAAGAAAAAAUAAAAGGUGUGCAUUUCGUGUGUAUUUUUUCUGUUAUGUCAUGCACUGGAUGUCAGUCCAAAUCUUAUGUAUCAUUUAAGAAAGAAGACAACUGUUUGGAUAAGACUAGCUUUGGGAAAGUGCUCAGGGAAGAGCAGGCUUUUGGCUUGCAGGCAAGAUUUUUACCUGUUGCUGGAUCGUACAGCUAAAACUGUGUUUUUAACUAUUUAAACUACAGACAAAUGUCUCUUUCCCUCAUUAUCUUACACCUAUUCUCAAAGUCAGUCUUACUCACCUUUUGUCAAGCUUCUUUGAUAAAGUGAUGUCCCUCUACCUGCCACUCCUAGAAGACUUGUCACUGGUUAGGGACUGGAGGCUUCCAAAAUCCACGUGGUCAGUGGCAGUUCUGCAAUUAAAGAGGGACGAUUAGGGAAAGAUUUUAGUCAUUCCAGUAAGCCGAGGAAAAGUAGAACUUUUGAGUCACUUUGUGGUUUAGAAACAGGGGCCAUUACUCCUCUGUGUUACCAGCCCUUUGGGGUCUGCUUUGUAGCUCUGAGGAGAUGCCAAGGCAAACAGACAGCUCCGGGCCUAUGGGUGAGGAGUCCAAGAGGCAGCGGUUUGUCAGACGUUGGAUGAAGCCUUUAGGAGCAAUGUUAUCUGAUUUCUCCCUUUUUUACAUGGGGUUCUCAUCAGCUUCCUUAAAUGUCACUGAGAACUUCUUCACUGAACUAAGUGUGCUUUGAAACAUAUUUAUCUGCACCAGAGUGUCCUCAGCUGCUACUCUGAAUACUAUACGGAAUGCUCAGGAGAUGGUGGCAGGUGUAGAGCAGCAAUCUGAUAGGACUCUUUUACAUGAAGUCCAUUUCAUUCAACUCAAAUGCCUUUUUUUAGUGUGCGACCAGCCAAAUACGUGCUCCAAAACGCUGCCUCCUGCAGCAGAUGUGCAUGGCAGAACAAAAGGCACCAGGGGUUGCAGCAAGCUCUGUGUGCCCGCAGCCUUGCUGGCAGCUCUUGCUGCUCUGUGCAGAUGUGGGUAUCGAGCAGAGCUUCUGCAGAGCUGGACCUUGCUCUGCUGUGCAGCCCUGCAGGUUGGGAUCAUCCAAAUUUUUCUCUGGGGAAGCUUUUCCUUUGAAGGAGAAGUUUUCUGUGCUAACUGCUGCAAAUCUCUGCAUCUCCACUACCCUAAAUAGCACUGCCCACCUUUUAGUUGCAGCAAAACUGUAUUUCUUCUUUACGAUAGCACUACUCUGAGUAAAUAGGAACUUUCCAUACCUUUUACAUGCCAAAGGUUGUAUAAUGAAAUGAGGCAGCAAUCCUCCUUCUGAAACUAUAGGUGUUAGUUAAGAACUUGUCUAAAAUUACCCACGCUGACGUGUACUUUGGAGUUAACAAAGCUCACCUGGCACUUUCCUGCUGCCUCCCAGCAGAAGGCUCUCGUGCUGCCCAGUGCUGCCACUGCAGUGGGAAGGAGCUCCCAGGCUGCAGUCAGAGUCCUCUCACCACUCCAAGGUGCUUAAUUUAUUUCAAAGUAUUUCCAGCGGCCCUGUCAGUGUAUCUUAGUUGCUACUAUUUAUUACGAUUACGUUAUGCUUCUUGCAUGUGUUGUUAAAUACGACCAUUCACAUUUCUCAACCUUGCAGUCCUAUGACAUACAUCUACACGGGCAGAUGCCCAUUCUAUAUAUCAGUAAAUGUGUAUGCCUUUGUAAAACUUCUAGUUUCUUUCACUGUUUUUGUAUUCUCUUGUGCUGCUUUUAAGACACGUUUUUAAAGGUCACUCCUGUAUGUUAUUUAACCUAUUGCUGUUCUGUUGUAGUCGUAAAAAAAUUGUGAGUGUUUUGCAUAAUAUGCAAGAUGCAUUCAUUGUUACUCACCAGAUUAUUAGCCUCACCACUUAGAAGUUACUUCAGCACACACACAGAACAGAUUCUUUGCUUUAAACCUUCGCAGAUCAUGAAAAUACAUCUGAAUGACCAUGUAAGCAAAUUCAAGAGAAGUGUGAUCGUUCAACGCCAGGCUUCCUAUGCUUUAAGUGGAACAAAAUGAUCUUCUAUGACAUUUUAAAGAUAAUUGUAAUAUUUGCAGUGGAUGAUGGGAUAGAAUUACAGUAUGAAUAAAAUUCUUCUACGUUA